rnacentral:rRNA from 1 species
CUCAGGAUGAACGCUGGCGGCGUGCUAAUACAUGCAAGUCGAACGAAGCUGAUGCGACGGAACCUUCGGGGGAAGAUGCAUUAGACUGAGUGGCGGACGGGUGAGUAACGCGUGGGUAACCUGCCUUAUACAGGGGGACAACAUUUGGAAACAGAUGCUAAUACCGCAUAAGCGCACAGAACCGCAUGGUCAGUGUGAAAAGCUCCGACGGUAUAAGAUGGACCCCGCGUCUGAUUAGGCUUGUUGGUGAGGUAACGGCUCACCAAGGCGACGAUCAGUAGCCGGCCUGAGAGGGUGGACGGCCACAUUGGGACUGAGACACGGCCCAGACUCCUACGGGAGGCAGCAGUAGGGAAUAUUGCACAAUGGGGGAAACCCUGAUGCAGCCGACGCCGCGUGAAGGAUGAAGUAUCUCGGUAUGUAAACUUCUAUCAGCAGGGAAGAAGAAAGUGACGGUACCUGACUAAGAAGCCCCGGCUAACUACGUGCCAGCCGCUGC